AGGAUGAACGCUGGCGGCGUGCUAAUACAUGCAAGUCGAACGAGGUGCUUUUGUAGCAAUACGAGAGUAUCCUAGUGGCGAACGGGUGAGUAACGCGUUGGUGACCUACCCCAAAGUGUGGGAUAACAGUCCGAAAGGAUUGCUAAUACCGCAUGUGGUCUACGGAUUUAGAAACUGAUGACUAAAGGAGCAAUUCGCUUUGGGAGGGACCUGCGUCCCAUCAGCUAGUUGGUGAGGUAAUGGCUCACCAAGGCUACGACGGGUAGGGGACCUGAGAGGGUGGCCCCCCACAAUGGAACUGAAACACGGUCCAUACACCUACGGGUGGCAGCAGUAGGGAAUAUUGCACAAUGGGCGAAAGCCUGAUGCGGCAACGCCGCGUGUGCGAUGAAGGCCUUCGGGUCGUAAAGCACUUUUCUGAGAGAUGAGAAAGGACAGUAUCUCAGGAAUAAGUCUCGGCUAACUACGUGCCAGCAGCCGCGGUAAAACGUAGGAGGCGAGCGUUAUCCGGAUUCACUGGGCGUAAAGCGCGUGCAGGUGGCUCGGUAAGUUGGGCGUGAAAUCUCCCGGCUCAACUGGGAGAGGUCGUUCAAUACUACCGAGCUAGAGAGCAGAAGAGGAAGAUGGAAUUCCCGGUGUAGUGGUGAAAUGCGUAGAUAUCGGGAGGAACACCAGUGGCGAAGGCGAUCUUCUGGUCUGUUUCUGACACUCAGACGCGACAGCUAGGGUAGUAAACGGGAUUAGAGACCCCGGUAAUCCUAGCCGUAAACGAUGUGAACUUGGCGUUGGUGGGUUAAACUCCAUCAGUGCCGAAGCAAACGCGAUAAGUUCACCGCCUGGGGACUACGGCCGCAAGGUUAAAACUCAAAGGAAUUGACGG
rnacentral:rRNA from 1 species